rnacentral:tRNA from 1 species
GCGCCGAUAGUCUAGUGGUUAAGACUCCGCUUUCCCAUAACAGAAUUAUUCUGUCACCAAGCGGCAGCCCGGGUUCGAACCCCGGUCGGCGCA